rnacentral:rRNA from 1 species
AUAAAAAACCAAUGCCCUCUGGGCUCCUUGGUGAUUCAUAAUAACUUAACGAAUCGCAUGGCCUUGCGCCGGCGAUGGUUCAUUCAAAUUUCUGCCCUAUCAAUUUUCGAUGGUAGAGUAGUGGUCUACCAUGAUCUUAACGGGUAACGGGGAAUUAGGGUUCUAUUCCGGAGAAGGAACCUGAGAAACGGCUACUACAUCCAAGGAAGGCAGCAGGCGCGCAAAUUACCCAAUGCUAAUUCAGCGAGGUAGUGACAAUAAAUACUGAUACGGGGCUCUUUCGGGUCUCGUAAUUGGAAUGAGUACAAUCUAAAUCCCUUAACGAGGAACAAUUGGAGGGCAAGUCUGGUGCCAGCAGCCGCGGUAAUUCCAGCUCCAAUAGCGUAUAUUAAAGUUGUUGCCGUUAAAAAGCUCGUAGUUGAACCUUGGACCUGGCUGAUCUGUCCUCCUAAUCGAGCGCACGGAUUCGGUCGGGUCUUUCCUUCUGGGGAGCCCUAUGCCCUUCACUGGGUGUAG